rnacentral:rRNA from 1 species
GAUGAACGCUGGCGGCGUGCCUAAUACAUGCAAGUCGAGCGAACGGACGAGAAGCUUGCUUCUCUGAUGUUAGCGGCGGACGGGUGAGUAACACGUGGAUAACCUACCUAUAAGACUGGGAUAACUUCGGGAAACCGGAGCUAAUACCGGAUAAUAUUUUGAACCGCAUGGUUCAAAAGUGAAAGACGGUCUUGCUGUCACUUAUAGAUGGAUCCGCGCUGCAUUAGCUAGUUGGUAAGGUAACGGCUUACCAAGGCAUCGAUGCAUAGCCGACCUGAGAGGGUGAUCGGCCACACUGGAACUGAGACACGGUCCAGACUCCUACGGGAGGCAGCAGUAGGGAAUCUUCCGCAAUGGGCGAAAGCCUGACGGAGCAACGCCGCGUGAGUGAUGAAGGUUUUCGGAUCGUAAAACUCUGUUAUUAGGGAAGAACAUAUGUGUAAGUAACUGUGCACAUCUUGACGGUACCUAAUCAGAAAGCCACGGCUAACUACGUG